UACGUAGGGUGCAAGCGUUGUCCGGAAUUACUGGGCGUAAAGCGUGCGCAGGCGGUUUUGUCAGCCAGAUGUGAAAUCCCCGGGCUCAACCUGGGAAUGGCAUUUGGGACUGCAAGGCUUGAGUGCGGCAGAGGAGACUGGAAUUCCUGGUGUAGCAGUGAAAUGCGUAGAUAUCAGGAGGAACACCGAUGGCGAAGGCAGGUCUCUGGGCUGACACUGACGCUCAUGCACGAAAGCGUGGGGAGCAAACAGG
rnacentral:rRNA from 1 species